CGCACAUAUCUGUCAUUAUAGACACAUUUCCCCGGUUCCAUCUAUUGCUGUUUUAUGGCAGAUUCACUUGUGUAUUGUCAUUGAUGAUGUGAUGAUCAAAUCCACUUGCCUUAUGUGGUAGGGCUGACUUGCAGCGUGGGCGUGCACGCCCUCCUAGGGGUGGUGUCAAUAUACACUGCUUCCGCCUCACCGAAUGAUGUCGGUUGUUUGAGUUGUUUGGCGCGCGGUGCCCGUGGUUGUCUGUCGCUAGAAGAACACUGCUCCGUACUGAGACCUACUGAUUGCAGACUGCGCUGUUGCCUUUGUGCUGUCUUUAAAAGGCGAAGAAUAUUGCUGCUGUGUCCGUGUUUCUCCAUCUCUCUCUCCCUCUCUGGGCCUGCAGCCUAUUGCUCCCUAGGUAUAUGAUUUUAUUUGUGUUAACCAUGUAUCAAGAUUUAAAGUAUUGUGUGCAGUGCACAUAUGUAUCAGGGAUCAGUCUGAACUGAUGUUUUCUCUUUUGUUUUGUUUUAGAAGUGAAUACACACACAUUUGUUUUGGAUGUAUAGGCUGUGAGAGAGCCAUUGGCACUUUGUUAUGGCUUUGGGGUUUUUGUUUCCUUUUGUUUGUAUGAAUGUGUGUGUCAUUUUUAGUUAACUGCCACCUGUUUGCUACCAGCCUCUCCACAUGUAACCCAUUGCAACUGCCUAGUAACAUCUAGUAGUGUGGUGUUUUCUUACAUUCCUUGCAAGUAUGCGCAAUGUGUGGAAGUACAUACAAUAAUUGUAGUGUGGUGUUGUAUAUGUCAAACACAAUUGUGUGGAGUGUUUUUAAGAAUUGUAGCACGUUUGCUCUGGAUCCUGUGUUUCCUUACGUACGUAGAGUGACUGAAUUGUAGUGAGAUAAUCCAGAUCUUAUAGAUCUUUAUUGGGUGAUUGGUCUGUCAGACUGGUAUUUACUGGUUACCAGUGUAUGAACGUGUGUGUGAGAGCUACUGUUUUGUAAGGUAAUUUAAUACCAUUGACCUGAUAUUUAUUACAUAAAGAAAAUAAAACAUACUCUAUUUUGCUACA